GGGACGCGAGGCGCUGCCGCCGGGUUCGCCUUGGGGCCCGUUGGGCGCGCGGGUGUGAGGGGAGGAGAUUCCCGCCGCCUCCCUGAGGAGAGACCCGGGCGAGGCUGGUCUUCCCGGCCCCCUCAGUGAAUGAAAUGUAAUGGCUGCUUGGGAAAGAGGGAUCUGCCGCCACACACAAAGGAAAUGAAGGUAAAGGAGACCUCUGAGAUACUCGUGAUGCUGUGACCAGCCGCUGGCAGAUCGUAUGGCAGACGGUAUCUAAGAAAGAAUUCCACCUGCAGAAACGAUGUGCUAUAAGUUUGCGAGAUGGGCACCAUGUGACCUACCAGCAUUGUCCCCAUUCCACCUGACAUUUUGUGGCAAAGACAAGGACUCACUUAUUUGAGUAGCAAAUACUGUCCACACAGCUGAGC